ensembl:lncRNA
CAGACUCCUCUUAAAGAGCCACACACAAUAAGUAAAGUUAGCAAAUGUUUAUUAAAUGACAAAUAGAACUCAGAAACACUUAACAUAUUUGCUUCAAGAAAAGGCACAAAACAGGAACAGAAAGAUAACCCGGAUUAUCUAGCUUGAUAAUCCAGUUCAAAUGUAACCAAAAUGUUCACUGAAACAAGCGCCACGCUAUGCUGUGGCACAGAGAGUUAGGGAAGCGCCAAACGCUCUUUAAUAAUGAGUGCAAACGAUACCGUUGUCAAAAGUCAAGCCAAGUUCAAAAGCCAAAAGGUGCCAAAAACGCCAAGCCUGGAGCAAACACUGUCCCGGAAGCAUACCGGAUUCAGUAGCCAGUGGAAGCCAGAAACGCCAAACCAGAAACGCCAAGUUGGAAUCGCCAAGCCAGCUGAUCUUGAUCUCAUAUGUGAACCUCUCCCAUCCACCCUCCAAUCACUCCAUCUUUGUUCAAGACUUAGAUCUCCCCAUGUCCCUGGUGUACCAGUAGUUUGCCAGUCUCCCGAUGCACCCUCAGAAACUGCACACACAUUUACUUGAGUCCAACUUGCAGCUUCUUCCAUCCCAUUCUCAGACCCAUCAUCCCCAGAAAAACCCUCAAACGUUUCAUCCUCCGUGGGAGCAGUAAGUAUAUCACGAAUCUUCUUUCUUUCCCUUUCCUCAUCUGACUCUUGCUCCCGAGUUGACCUCUUAGUUCCUCUACUUUCUAUUAACCCUUCAUCUUCCUCCAUUGAGUCCUCUUCACUAGAGAAGCCUUCAAAUGUCUCCUCAUCAGUAGGAACCAUAAGUAUUUCCCGAAUCCGCUUUACUUGCUGUUCCUCAUCAAGCGCCUGCUCAACAUUAUCCCUUUUCCUCCUACUAGCAAUUUUACCAGUAGUACCAGAACUACCCCUUGGCGCAACUACAACAGCUUCAUUGUCCUUUGCUACACGUUAACCAAGAGUAAUAAAUUGUAUCCGCCGUUUGCUUUCACUUCCCAGCCUGCAAAAAUAGCUUCUUUUGCAGGCUCUUUCCACAACCAAAAAAUUUACUAUAAACCCCUUUCCAAGCCACGGAUGCCUGCCGGCUUGGUCAAGGCGGUACAGAACCACCUCGAGAACAAGGAAAUGCAGUUUUUCCAACUGUGGAUAUGGAAACCCACUGGGGCCCCAUAUCCACGCCUUAAUGGAUUCACUAUGGACCAAUUCCAUUUCACUCCGGAACACUUUCUAAACUAAACUGCUAUCUUGCUUUUUGCCACAACAUCCCCAAAUCACCUCCAGUCAAAUGAAUUGGUUCCUUUUCAUGAAUGAGUUGCCUUUUUAUGAAUGAGGAUGGGCAAUGCAAUCUAAAAAGUCCUUUUGCGCUUUCUUAUAAACUCCUUAGGUAUCAGGGACCCCUUUCCCCUCUUCCUACAUGAACCCCUUGUAUCCCUUGCACUGUCUCCCAGUUCUAGGGGAACCCCAAAAGCCUUUUUGUCUGAUGGGCUGCUAGAGAACCUCUGGGAUUCCUUUCUUUGUCCCUCAUGGGAAAUACAGGGGAGAUCGAAGACCUCUGAAAGCCCAUGAGUCUACCUGCGUCUGCCUCCCAACACAUGGGGAUGCUGGAUCUUGUGUUUCUCCCCCAUUGUGAAUCCCCAUGUGUCUUCUAUCAAGUUUAUUUUAUUUUAUUUUUUAUUAUUAUACUUUAUGAUAUCUUGCCCCUUAUAAAAGAAGCACUGUGACCCUGAGGUGAACAUUUGACCAGCACACCAUCCUGACCUAAGUACCACCAGGCUGCCUCAGGCCAAAUUCUACAAACUUGGAUUACCAUGAUCAUCAUCUGGAAAUAAAGCAAUGGACUCUUUCUCAAACUUCGGAGGGUGAUGCUUGUGCUUCCAAUGGCUGAAGCGCGCGAGCCUCCAGACUGCUCCUCCUAGCUCAUGGUGUCAGGGACUCCCCUGGCCAAUCAGCAAGGAGCCCGCUGGGUGGGAAAAGUAUAAAAUGUGUCUUUUUCUGUGUAACGGUAUGCUGGUUCCUUUUGCAACUUAUUGCGAUCGUCAUCCUGCUCCAGCUGGACCAGAAUAAACUCGGUGACCUCUGCUUCAAACUUGGUGAGCCUUUUAUUGGGAAUAGGAAAAUCUUUAUUUGCUUCUCACAAACUCACUAGGUGUUGCACAACCCUCCUUCUGGGUCUAGCGCAAGUCUCCAUUUCCAGCGAGAUCCCCAAAUCUUUGAUCUCAUCAUUUGGCAACCACGAAGGGACACUAGGCUUGGGGUCCCAUUAACUUUUAGACAAAAAAGCAAGCCGCUACCUGGUCCUAAGGUUUGCCUAAAGAGCUCUUUAAAAUAAACUGGGCUCCAUUGCUGCCCACCUAGUCAUCUCACUUGUAGCUGGACCGACCUCAGAUCCUGGCACAAAGGAGCAUAGAAGCAUCUUGACUUCUUUGAUCUCUUCAUCAAUGUCUGUAAUGCCAUGUGAUGGCCACCUUUCUCAGUGUAUUUUUGGUGAGACAGGAGAGGAUUACCUUUCAAGCCUGAAAAGCUUUCAAGACAAGAUGGGAAUCACAAUUCUAGCCAAGUCUUUCUUCAUGAACCCAGGCUGACCACCUGAGAAGACAUUAUAUGACUUACCAGGAUAUGUAAGAUUUAAUAUCAAAUAAAAAUUUCUCAUCGUAUUAUUAAAUUUAGUAAAAUAGCACUAAUCUAGCAGUAACAUGGUCAAAUAUUGGAGCAAAUUCUUUAGAUAGAUGAAGCAAUUAUGCACUACCAUUUCCUUUUAUAUUUCACCCUAAAAUAUACCUUCCCAGAGAUCAAAUUAAAACUAGACUACAUUAACAUUUUUAAAGACAGGAGAAAAUGUAACUCUACAGUCCUUCCAACCACACUAUUCUUUAACAUCAUAGUAUUGGGACCUUUUUCCCACCCCUCCUUCACCUUUAUUUGAGCUUCAGAGCUAGAAAUUAAUAACAUUUCCACAGGGGUUCAUUUUUCUUGAAAUGAGAUUAUUCAGUCCAGCCAGUCAGAAGAAACAAAAGCAUUACUCAGUGUGAUUGGGUUCUUGGCAUGCCCACUGGAUCGACACACACACACACACACACACAAUAGGCAAUGGAGAGGGAAUCAUUGCCUAUAUUGUCUCCCCUAAGCUAUGCAGUGUUCAAAUCAAACAUUUAUUGUGUGUUUGCACAUGUAACAUAUCUCUGGCUUGCAAUGGUGUUCCUAGACUUCCAAUGGAGUUUGGAAUAUUGAACAUGUUUUCCAUUGUCACAAUAAUAAAC